rnacentral:tRNA from 1 species
UCCUUUGUAGCUCAGUUGGUAAAGAAUCUGCCUGCAAUGCAGGAGAUCUGGGUUCGAUUCCUGGGUGGGAA